CUUCAACACUCCUCCUUGGCACUUUUGUUGGAAACACCAAGACUGUUUCUAAAUGUUUCAAAUCUUGCUUUAGGUAAGGACAUGGUUAGAAUAUCUGCAUUUUGAUCCUCUGAUUUGCAGCUUACAAGUUCCACUUCCUUUUCUUUUUGUGGUUCUCUGAUCGAGUGAUACUUGAUCUUGAUAUGCUUGGUUCUUCCGUUAAACACAUGAUUCUUCACCAUAGCUACUGCAAAUUGGUUGUUACAAUAGAUGAUUGUUGCUUCUUCGUGCUUGUGUUUGAGAUCCUAUAACACUUUCUUCAACCAGAGUGCUUGAUUUGUAGCUUCUGAGGUUGCAAUGUAUUCAGCUUCUGCUGUGGACUGUGCUACAAUUUUCUGCUUUAUUGAAUUCCAACAAAUAACACUUGAGCCAACAUAAAACACAUAACCAGAGGUGCUUUUCAUGUCUUCGGAGGAUCUAGCCCAAUCACUAUCUGUAAAACCAAUCAACUUCAGAAUUUCAGACUUUCUAAACCAAAUUCCCAGCUCUUCAGUCCCUUUAAUGUAUCUCAAAACCCUUUUUGCUGCUUGAAAGUGUAUUUUGCUUGGCUCUUGUCUAAAUCUUGACAACAUAUUUGUAACAAAUGUAAUAUCUAGUCUUGUUACUGAUAAAUACAACAAGCACCCCCACUAAACUUCUAUAAACUCAGCAUCUAUCUUUUUACAUCCAUCUUCCUUCAUCAACUUUGCAUUCUGAAUUAGGGGAGUGCUUACUGGUUUACAAUUUUCCAUAUUGAACUUUCUUGAAACUUCCUUAUCAUACUUUCUUUGGCAAACAAAGAUUCCUUGUUGUGUUUGAUGUAUUUCUAUGCCAAGAAAGUAUUGUAUUUUCCCCAAAUUUGUUAUAUCAAAUGCUUUCUUCAAUUGUGAUUUCACCUUUUCAAUUAAAGCAAAGUUGCUGCCAGUCACUAGAAGAUCAUCAACAUAUAGCGAAAUAAUAACCAUUUCUUUUUGCACUUGCUUUACAUAAAGGAUUUGUGAUACGAACCCGGUUAGCAAG
rnacentral:lncRNA from 1 species